AGAGGAAGGCGAAAUAUGUUCCUGUUCAUGCUGCUGAUGAGCUCAAGAAGACACUCCUGGACUCCAAGAAACUGCUGAGGAAGAGGGUUGCAGCACCAAAACCAAAGCCCCUGGACAAAGAAGCUGUGUGGCAGCUGUUGCUGCAUGCAGAUAAGAGAGAUUAUGAGAAAAUCUGUAUGAAAUACGGAAUUGUGGACUUCCGUGGGAUGCUAAGGAAGCUGCAGGAGAUGAGGAAGGACACAGAGACUGAACAAGACAAGGUAAAAUAAACUGAAACAACUCAUUUUUAACAAAUUGCAGCUUCUGUAAACAGGC